CCCAUCUCCCACUCAGAGCCUCCCCAAACCACAAAUUUACCAAUAGUGGACAUCUUCCCCGCCUCAGGAAGUGCCGCUCAUUGUCGUCUCUCUGUUAAAUUCGAUGCCACCAAAGCUUCUCCCGCUCCACUCUCUCCACCAGAAACUUAUUCACGAUCCAGCAAACCCAUUCCCAUCUCCCAUUCCGCCGAAAACCACCCAGGGGCAGAAGUCCCUUUUGACCGUGGCCAUCCUCCGCCAUGUUUGAAGCUCUGCUCAACCUCGAGCCCUCCAGCAACCCAUUUCCCAUCCAGCAGAUGCGGUCUCCUCUCCUGAGCACGUGGAUGUGCCGGGCGCUGGAAACGGAGCCUCCUAGCGCUCGCAAUCAUCGUCGGAAUUCACUCAUGUUUCUAUCCCAGGCGCGGGAGGAAGAAGGUGAACCUAAAAGGUGCGUCCCACCUGUCGGUGAGCCAGCCGACUCGCCAGUGGCGCUGCCAGCCAGUACGCUUUCUCCUCUAGUAAAGCAUUUUCUUUCCAAUACGCUUUCUGAUUUAGAAAUCAUAAACCCCACUGAACCGUUUUCUUUAUAACUUUUAUUUAAAAACAAUUUUUACCAAACUUUGACUGAUUAUAAUUUUUGAACGAUGACUCUAAAUGAAUUGAUUAUUUUUCUAUUAUUCCUCAAAUUUAAUCUAGUUUAUUUUAGUAUUUGUUAAAAAAAUUCCAAACAACUUUUCUACACCGUUUUGGAAAUGUGUGUUGAUUUCCAUAUUUUCAAAAAUAGGAAAAUUGGAAGGGCGAAUACUUUCAAAAUCUUUGGAGUGCAACCAAACCUUCUACAUACUCAAGGCAAGCAUCUUGAACACUGAUAUGUCAUAAAAGGAGUGAUUGUUUGCUGCGAUAAACGAAUGCUUGAUCAUGUGAGUGAAAUAAAAAAAAUCAUAUGGAGAAUAUUCAUGCAUGAAUGCAUAUGGUGGAAAUUUAUUUUUUAUGUUGAUCAUGAGAUUGAUAUGAUAAGUGGUCACUGCCUCAUUCCACAUAUGCCUAUACUGGUCUUGACAAACCCUCGAGGAAGGUUUUGUCAUGAGUAAAGUGUGACCGUGAAACUGAUAUCUCGUUGCGAUGAGAGCGAUCACUGAGGGCAUAUCUGGGCAUGAUGAGUGGUGACUAUGUUGGAUAUCAUGCAGAAAAUAUUGUGUGCUAACCAUUGCAGGGAACUUAAACCUACUGAGUCGGCCAUAGACCGAGUCUUGUACCAGUAACCCCAUACUUGAUUCGUGCUACCACUAGUCUCUGCCAUAGGUAGGGUACGGUCGAGUAAGUCGCCAACCCCUUUCCUUGCACACAUCAUACAGAGAGGCCAUAGUGAAAGAUAUCACUGAUCACUUGUAGGCAUAUCACUUGGUCCGGGGGUAUGGGUGUUCCGGUUGGACCGAGUGGGUAGCGCCCUUGUUUGCACGCGUUAUAAGUAUUGUGAUCCCAUGAUAUUCGAGACUGUGGUCUCCCCACUUAGAGUUUUACUUAACAGUUGCCUUGGGUGAUUCCCGACAGCGGGAAGUUAAGUUGGUGUGUGCGGGUCAACUGUGUUUUCAACUCAAAGAUUGUAAUCGGAAUUAGUCAAUGACGCGGGUUGACUAAAGGAAGUUGUUACUCGUGGGUAAAGAGUACCCCCUCUACAGAGUAUUAUACCUAUUUGAAUAACCGUGUCUGCGGUUAAGGACUACAGUUUGGAAUGGGUCGAGUGUUGGUCUCACUGUCGGUCUUCGGAGAAAUUAAAAUAACAAGACUAUAAAUCUUGAAUUAUCACGAAUGGUUAUUAUUGUCAAAUUGUUGUGGACUUAUCUUUUAUUGGUAUGAAGUUGUUGAGUAUCUCGGGCUGGGUCCUGCCACCUAAAUACUCAUAUUCGUAAUUCUAAUAUAAACCCUUUAUGUGGCGUCGCUCCAAACCCCCAACUGCGGCACUUCUAUCAUUAUUUUAUUAUAAGCCCCUUUAUGAGGCGUCACUUCAGACUUCCGACUGUGCGAUGUAUGUUAUUAUCUUUAAUAUAAGCCCUUUAUGUGAUGUCGCUUCAGAUGCCCGACUGUGGCAUGGAUGUUAUUAUCUUUAAUAUAAGCCCCUGGUGUGACGCCGCUUCAAACGCCCGACUGCGGCACGCGUAUUAUUAUUUUUAAUAUAAGCCCUUUAUGUGACGUCGCUGAGACGUCCGACUGAGCCAUAUUUUUUAUAUUUUCCCUUUUGACGUAUCGCUUUAGAUACCAGAUUGGUACAUAUUAAUUUUCUUGAAAAUCUCAGGAGACUCCGCCUGAUGUUAUAUUGUUAUUUUACCUUCCCUUAUUACUGAUUAAUUUUAUUUUAUCUCACGGGUAAAUUAAAUUCCUAAUAGCAUUCAUGAAUUAAUCCUACGACAUGUUAGAUAUUACUAAAGUUCUCAUGCAUGCAACUCACCUCUUUAUCAUGUCUGUUUUCAUGAUGUUUGCGAGUACUUUCAAAUGUACUCAUUGGCUUGUCCAUGGCUAUUGCCUUGGCCAGAUCGUGUAUUUGGAGAGGAGCACGAUGAUGACAACCGGGAACCUAGGCGUCAAAGAUAAUAGGCCCAUGAGAUAGGAGUUACCUAGGUGAGGAAUGGAGCCCCAUAGACGCUGGAGAUUCGUCAAACGCUUCCGCGAUCAGCCACUAGGCAUUUUUUUGUACCCCAUGGUCGGUGUCAAAACCGGCAGAUCUCGGGUAGGGGUCCCGAACUGUAGACCUUGGAUCGAUGGGUUGCACGAAACGAAGGGAACAGUGUUUUCCCAGGUUCAGGCCCUCUUGAGGAAGUAAAACCCUACGUCCUGCUUGAUUAUAUUGAUGGAGUAUGAGGAUUACAAAGUUGAUCUACCUCGAAUUCGUAUGAGCUAAACCCUAGAUGAAUCAACCUGUCUAUGCGGAUCAAACCCUCUUGUUUAUAAAGACACCAGGGGCCCCUAGGGUUACAUACAACUGACCUUUAGUCGGGGGCAGAGGUGCCGAGCUAGACUACUCAACUUGGACGAUACGCGAGUCUUCAGAACUUCCCUUCUUGAAUAAAAAGUCAUCAUGUAGUCCGGUCUUCGAUAAUACGGCCCAUAUGGUCGACCUAUAAAAGAUGGGCCGACCAUCCGAGGACCCCUGGUUCCAGGACUCCCUUAGUAGCCCCGAACUUGCACCAACACCGGUGUACAUGCUCUUCGGCAACUUCUUGCACCCAGGGUGAUUGGCUUGCGAGGCAAGUUCCUCCAUUUCCCCUUAUUUGUGGAACGACGAUCCUAAUCAUUGACCAGAUCUCGAUUACCGAAGCAUCACGGGUCCCACGGCCUCCAAACUUUCUGCUCGAGAAUUGAUAGGAGCAUUUGAUUUCUGUGCGCAUUAAUGAAGACAAACAAUCUAGCAGUCUCACUCGGAACCGCUUCUCGUAACCGUGAGGGAAAAUACCCUUUAUAAACAUAUACAAUAUGUCCUUGGGUGACCAUCAACCCUCAAGCACCAUCAAGAGAAAGCCCUAGAACUCCAGCGCCUAGAGCUAUGGCGGGUUCCUCCUCGCAUCCCUUCGCGGCCCUUCCGGGAGAUUGGGCAAGUUGUUUCGUUUCCGUGUUCCACUUGUGCAACCUUGAAAUAGAAGGAUAUCUUCCCACGUCCGAUCUUGCGCCUACCCAUGUUGGACUGAACUCGGCCAACAUCGAGGCCCCCGCAGAGAAUUUCCCUACCCCACAAAAGGGCGAAAGAUGUGCUUUGUUUCUUUCCUGCUGCAGGGUCUGGGAUUUUCGGUCCACCCCUUCCUGAGGGGCUUACUAGAGUUCUACGGGCUCCAGCUUCACAACAUUACCCGCGGCUCUAUCCUUCACAUCUCACGCUUCAUAGCCUUGUGCGAGAUGUUCUUAGGCUUUGAGCCCCACUUCGACCUAUGGAGAAAGUACUUCUGCCUUGUUCCCCGAACUAGGGGAACGUCAAUUCGGGAAGUGGGCAGAGCCGAAGUGUGGCGUAUAGCCGGGACCAGAUACCCGGUCCGGACUCCAAAGAAGAAAACCAAUGAGCGGUCUUCGAAAUGGUUUUAUAUCAAAGACAUUACCUUAUUCGGCCCAGUUUGGAGGGGUCUUCCCGAAUACGCUGAGGUCUCCUUAAAAAUCGGUUUAGCUCGCAGCCGGUCAAUCCCUCACAAGAAGAGAGCCCCAAAGUACAGCGUCUAGCCGCCAAGGUGAGGUUACUUGCUCACAGUGGGCUGACCAUCGUCGAGGUGAUGGCCACAACAAUUACCCGGUGUGUCAAGCCAAUCCAAAAGUGCACGCACCCCUUGUGGCACUACAACGGGACAAGCGACACCAGCCAUUCCAGGCAACAAGGACCGGAUAAUCAAGAUGCUUUGGCGGCCAUUUUGGCCGACCUCUUUAAAGGGGAAAAAGAGAAUUUCGCCCAACUUACCGUCAGGGACGGCUACUGGGCAUACAAUCCCGUUGAAUGGGCAAGUGUGAUUAUAAUUACAUAGUCCGGACACUUAUGCUUGGUCUUACUGAUCAAUAACCCAUUGCCUUUAUUAACAGACUUGGAGGCAUUGGAUUGAAACAGUCAACUGUCCCGCCCUUCAACCCGAAAACUACUCCCGUGAUGACAACCCCAAAUUCCAUGAGGAUCCGAAGCUUUUCAUUGACUUCGAGGACGGAGUAUUUUACUAGGAAAGUAUCGACGAGGUCAAGGUGACCCUCCACGCUGACAAUCCUGGGCCUCUUCCAUCCUCCACCGCAAACAAGAGGAAAACCAGUACUCGGAGAGGAGCUAUACCUCUCGUCAUCCCAAACACUCCUAGCUCCAACCCUAAAGGUCGGCGGUCCAUGCGCCAAACUCCGCGUCGAGCUAUAUCGGCUGGGGCCGCAUCGACCGAACAUAGGAUUACCGAACAAAAGUCAACGACACAGAAUAUAUCGGCCGCCCCUUCAACCAAGACGUAUAUAUAUCCAUCAUUCCUUUUUCACAGUAGUAAUUGCAUUGGCUCCUCCUGACCCCUAGCCGAAAUAUACAGGAGACGUACGCAACCAUCUUUACCCGAAGAUGCUGCUGAAGUGUCCGGCAACCAUCAAAAUCCGAGGUCCUCGGCUAAUGCAAGAGUUCCGGAUAUGGAUUUACUUCUUGAUGACCCCGUAGAGUUUUCAACAACGCAUUCUGAAGCUAAGAGCUUAAUGAAUCAGCGGCGACGAAAGGAGUCCUUGCGCCACCCUAUUUUUUCGGAGCAGGAGCUUAAUGCUUUUAAUUCCGCGGAUGCCUACUUUAGGGCCACGGGAGCUGGAGUUGAAGAAGCGGCCAAGCUGAUAUCUUCCCACCUGCAAGUAAGUCGUCGGUUUUUGGUACCCGAACAUAAGUUCGGACCCUGUAGCCCCUGAACCUUAUUUUGUCGGUAUGGCUGAAUUAUGGGUCGAUUUAAUAGUGUACCAUCAUACAGUCUGUAAAGAACGAGAAAUUGGCCAAGGAUUUCGAGCUAAGCCAGGCCGAGUUGCAAGCUAGCAAGGUUGAGCUAGAAGGGGUGAAGAAGUUCACCGCAGAAGCACACAAUGAGUAAAACAGAAGUAGACAAGGGGGAGAAGAAUGUGUCCCAUUGUUGAGGAUAUUUCCUCAUAGCCCUACCGAUCGUACUUUUGUUAACGCACUUGGAUAUGUUUGUUAGUGUAGUGUUUAUUUGCAUGAUACGAUAUCUGUGAGUGUAAUGAUUUUCUUGAUUGCACCUGCAUGUGAGUGAUUUGGUUAUCAUGUUUUACAAGAGAUUUCUUUUAUUUCCCUUAGCAUAUCUGGAGGGCGAGAUUUUGACUGGGUAGAGUUUGUAACGCCCCAAAAGUUAAUCAUAUUUUUUAUUAAUUUAAAUUUGGCCAGACAUAAAACUUUUAGUUAUAUUUGCCUUUUGCUAAUUUCAGAACCUUGUUUGUUCAAGGUAUACAAAAAAUUUCCCUCCAAGUAUUUUUUUAAUGGUAAUGUUGGAUUUAUAUAUUUUCCUUCCAAUGUUUUAUUUCAUUUUACUAAUAUAGUAGGAAUAACUUUUAUAAUAAAACUUGCCCACAACUAAUUCUUUUAAUAACAUCUUUAACUCUAAGAUUUGCCCUUGUUACACUGCAACCAUUUUAAAUAUUUCUUUAAAAAUUCCAUAAAAAAUUGGAGAGGUCAAGUGAUGCCCACAUAUCAGUGUUAUGCAAAAAAAAAAACCACUUGGUCAUUUCUAAAUUUUGAGCCCAACCUUAUAUUUUCAAAUCUAGUCCAGUUUGUGAUUCGAAAUGCAACCCCAUUUUUCCUAGCCCUAAAAUUCAAGAAAAAAAUUCACUCCUAUUACUUCCAAGCGAACUCUUAAGUCCAAGCAAUCAGCCACAGACUCAACCUUUCGGUUUGCCAAAAAUAUUCCGUGAAGUUUUUGUCCACAAUUGAAUUCUAGCAAAACUAGCAUUAGAAAGUUUUCUUCCCAAACUAACUUCACCACUACCUUUAACAUCUAAAGAGACCCCACCCUUCCCAAUUUCAGCUUCAGAAAAGCUCCCUAAGUGGUUCUGUCAUUCUGUCGAACAUCUUGAGUUCAGGGCAAAAAAAUUGACUAUCCAUCAAACUCCACCGCCAACCUGCCCCAUUAACCGGCUUGUUUUAACCUGAACCAUGGCCCUGCUAAAUUUAAAUUGCAUUAGAGCCCCCUAAGCCACCCUGGCAAUUUGUCGAGCAGCUGUAGUGCAUGCCCGGAGCACGAGAACAACAUGCGUUUUUCAUGUAUUCGCGCCCGAGCUAUCACGUCCCAGGACGGUCCCUCUCCAGCUUGUACUGGUCUGUUUUGCUGCUCGCCGCUAUACACCUCAGCCCAACCGACCUCCCCUACCGCUCUAUAGCACCCUAUCACGUCCUCGACGCGCCAAAUGCUAGACGCCACCGCCGCCGCCUGUUGUGGUCGGCACCAUCCAGGCCACCUGACGUGCCCCCAAGCACCUCAACUCGUCGAGCUCAUCCUCAUCUUCGUCAUCAUCCCCUACAAGCCCCGCCAGCCAGGCGCCGCCUCCACUGUUUGCCAUCAGUGGCUGCCCAUCUCCCUCUGAGAGCAUCCCCAAGCCACCAAUCGACUAGUAGUGGCCAUCUUCCCCGCCUCAAGCAGUGACGCUCUGUGUCGUCUCUCUCUUAAAUUCGACAACCCCAGAGUUUCUGCCUCUCUACUCUCUCCACCAGAAACUUCCUCAGGAUCCAGCAAACCUAUUUCCAUCUCGCAUUCCACCGAAAACGAGCCAAGGGCAGAAGUCCAUUUGACCAUAGCCAUCCUCCACCAUGGUUGAAGCGCUGCUCAACCUCGAGCCCUCCAGCAACCCAUUUAGCCUCCAUCGUAUGCAAUCUCCUCUCCUAAGAAUGUGGAUGUGCCUCGCGCUAGAAACGGAGUCUCCUAGCGCUAGCAAUCAUCGUCGGAGUUCGCUUCUCUCUCUGUCCAAUGCGUGGGAGGAAGAAGGUGAACCCGAUAGGUGGGUCCCACCUGUCGGUGAGCCAGCCGACCCGCUAGUGGUGCUAGCUACUAGUAUGAUUUCUACUCUAGUAAAUACUUCUCUUUUCAAUGCUCUUUCUCUUCUCGAAAGCGUAAACCCUACCGAACCGUUUUCUUUUAUAACUGUAUUUAGAAACCAGAUUUCACCAAAGUUUGACUGCUUAUAAUUUUUAAACGAUAACUCAAAAAAUAUUUAUUAUUUUUUUGUUAUUCCUCAAAUUUAAGCAAGUUUAUUUUAGUAUUUAUUAAGAAAUUUGCCAAACAACUUUUCUACACUAUUUUGGAAAUGUGUGUUGAUUUCAGUAUUUUCAAAAAAAGGAAAAUUGGAAGGGGGAAUACUUUCAAAAUAUUUGGAGUGCAACCAACCCUUCUACAUACUCAAGGAAAGCAUCUUGAACACUGAUAUGUCAUAAACGGAGUGAUUGUUUUGCUGCGAUAAACGAAUGCAUGAUCAUGUUAGUGACAUAAAAAAUCAUAUGGAGAAUAUUCAUGCAUGAAUGCAUAUGGUGGAAAUUUAUUCUUCUUGUUGAUCAUGAGAUUGAUAUGAGAAGUGGUCACUGCCUCAUGCGAUCUAUGUUUAUACUAGUCUUGAAAAACCCCAGAGGAAGGUUUUGUCCUGAGUAAAGUGUGACGGCGAAAUAGAUAUCUCGUUGUGAUGAGAGCGAUCAGUGAGGGCAUAACUGGGCAUGAUGAGUGGUGACUAUGUUGGAUAACAUGUAGAAAAUUUGGUGUGCUAACCAUUGUAGGGAACUUAAACCUCAUGAGUCGACCAUAGAUCGAGUCUUGUAAUAGUAACCCCCAUACUUGAUUUGUGCUACCGCUGGUCCCUGCCACAGGUAGGGUACGGUCGAGUAAGUCAUCAACCCCUUUCCUUACACACACACCAUACACAAAGGCCACAGUCAAAGAUACCAAUAAUCAUUGGUAGGCAUGUCACUUGGUCCUAGGGCAUGGGUGUUUUGGUUGAACCGAGGGGGUAGCGCCCCAGUUUGCACACAUUACAAGUAUUGUGAUCCCAUUAUAUUCAAGAUUGUGGUCUCCCCAAUUAGAAUUUUACUUAACGUUUGCCUUGGGCGAUUCCUGGCAUCGGAAAGUUAAGCUGGUGUGUCCGUGUCAGGUGUGUUUCCAAUUCAAGGACCGUAAUCGGAAUUAGUCAACAACACGGGCUGACUAAAGAAAUCAGUUACACGUGGGUUAAGAGUACCCCCUGUGUAGAGUAUUAUACCUAUUCGAAUAGUAGUGUGUGCGGUUAAGGACUGUAGUCUGGGAUGGGUGAAGUGUCGGUCUCAGUUUCGAUCUUCGGAGGAAUUAAUUUAACAAGACUAUAAAUCUUGAAUUAAUACGGAUGAUUAUUAUUUUCAAAUUGUUGUAGACUAACCUUUUAUGUAUAUGAUGUUAUUGAGUAUCUCGGGCAUGGUGUUGCCGCGUGAAUCGUCAUAUUCGUAAUUCCAAUAUAAGCCCUUUAUAUGGCAUCGCUUCAAACGUCCGACUGUGGCACUUCUGUUAUUAUUUUGUUAUCUACCCCUUUAUGAGGCAUUGCUUCACACACUCGAUUGUGGCAUGUAUGUUAUUAUCUUUAAUAUAAGCCCUUUAUAUGAUGUCGCUUCAGACGCCCGACUUUAGCACGUAUGUUAUUAUAUUUAAUAUAAGCCCCGCAUGUGACGUCGCUUCCAACGCCCGACUGCGGCACGACUGUUAUUAUUUUUAAUAUAAGCCCUUUAUGUGAUGUCGUUCAGACCUCCGACCGAGGUAUUUUUUAUAUUUUUCCCUUUUGAUGUGUCGCUUCAGGUACCCGAUUAGUACAUUUUAAUUUUCUUGAAAUCCUCCAGAGACUCAACCCGAUGUUCCAUUUUUUUACCUUCCCUUAUUAUUGAUUAAUUUUAUUUUAUAUUACGGAUAAAUUAUCUGCAUAGUGGCAUUCAUGAAUUAUUCCUAUGGCAUGUUAGGUAUUACUAAAGUUCUCAUGCUUGUAACUCACGUGCUUUGUCAUGUCUAUUUUCAUGAUGUUUCCGAGUACAUUCAAACGUAUUUACUGGCUUGUCCCUGGCUAUUUUCUUGGUCAGAUCGCGUAUUUGGAGAGGAGCACGAUGAAGACAAUCGGGAACAUAGGCAUCGAAGAUAAUUGGCGCGUGUGAAGGAGUUACCCAGGUCGGUUGUUCCUAUGGGAAUGGAGUCCCAUAGAUGCUCGAGAUUGGCGAGACCCUUCCGCCAUUAGCCACUAGACAUUUUUGUUGUACCCUUGAUACGUCUCCAACGUAUCUAAAACCUUUUAUUGUUCCAUGUUAUUAUAUGUUCUUUCUAGGAUACUUUUUUAGUAAAUAUUUACCAAUUUAUAUUAGUUUUGAGCACUAACCUAUUGACCCACUGCCUAGUGCGAGUUCAUGUUUUUUGUGUACUUUUUGUUUCGCAGAAAUUCCAUAUCAAACGUGGUCCAAACACGAUAAAAAUGUACAGACAUUUUUGUAGAAUAUAUGUGAAUUUUGGGAGUCAUAAUCAACGCAAGAAGAUGCUCGAGGGAGGCACAAUCCAACAGGGCGCCACCCAGGGGGUCGCGCCCUGAUGGCUUGUGCCCACCCCUUAAGUCAGUUGAAGCUCCCCUUCUGCCGCAAGAAAGAUAUUUUUGCGAUAAAAAUCCCCUCAAUAUUUAAGCCCGGUUAGAGUAAUGUAUCUCCGGAUAUUUAAGAAACGAUGAAGGGCUAGAAAACAAGAGAGAAAACAUGAGAUAAACA
rnacentral:lncRNA from 1 species